rnacentral:rRNA from 1 species
AAACCAGCACCUCAAGUGGUCAGGAUGAUUAUUGGGCCUAAAGCAUCCGUAGCCUGCUCUGUAAGUUUUCGGUUAAAUUUGUACGCUCAACGUACAGGCUGUCGGGAAUACUGCAGAGCUAGGGAGUGGGAGAGGUAGACGGUACUCGGGAGGAAGUGGUAAAAUGCUUUGAUCUCUCGAUGACCACCUGUGGCGAAGGCGGUCUACCAGAACACGUCCGACGGUGAGGGAUGAAAGCUGGGGGAGCAAACCGGAUUAGAAACCCCGGUAGUCC